rnacentral:rRNA from 1 species
AACGAACGCUGGCGGCAUGCCUAACACAUGCAAGUCGAACGAGACCUUCGGGUCUAGUGGCGCACGGGUGCGUAACGCGUGGGAAUCUGCCCUUCGGUUCGGAACAACAGUUAGAAAUGACUGCUAAUACCGGAUAAUGACGUAAGUCCAAAGAUUUAUCGCCGAAGGAUGAGCCCGCGUAAGAUUAGGUAGUUGGUGGGGUAAUGGCCUACCAAGCCGACGAUCUUUAGCUGGUCUGAGAGGAUGAUCAGCCACACUGGGACUGAGACACGGCCCAGACUCCUACGGGAGGCAGCAGUGGGGAAUAUUGGACAAUGGGCGAAAGCCUGAUCCAGCAAUGCCGCGUGAGUGAAGACGGCCUGCGGGUUGUAAAGCCCUUUAAGCGGGGAGGAACGCCGGAACGCGAAUACCGUUUCGGACUGACGUUACCCGCAGAAUAAGCACCGGCUAACUCCGUG